rnacentral:rRNA from 1 species
UACAGAGACUGCAAGCGUUAUUCGGAUUCACUGGGCGUAAAGGGUGCGCAGGCGGUCGUGUGUGUGAGGCGUGAAAGCCCGGAGCUCAACUCCGGAAUUGCACCUCAAACUACACGGCUAGAGCAUUGGAGAGGGUAGCGGAAUUCACGGUGUAGCAGUGAAAUGCGUAGAUAUCGUGAGGAACACCAGAGGCGAAGGCGGCUACCUGGACAAUUGCUGACGCUCAGGCACGAAAGCGUGGGGAGCAAAAGGG